CCCUUAGAUGUUCUGGGCCGCACGCGUGCUACACUGAGUGGAUCAGCGGGUCAGGUUGCGCGAAAGUGUUUCCUAAUCUUUAAAUCCGCUCGUGAUGGGGAUUGACGGUUGCAAUUUUCCGUCAUGAACGAGGAAUACCUUGUAAGCGCGGGUCAUCAUCCCGCGCUGAAUACGUCCCUGCCCUUUGUACACACCGCCCGUCGCUCCUACCGAUUGAGUGGUCCGGUGAGGCUUUGGGAUCUGAGCGGAAAGAGCGUUUCGCUGUUUCUGCCCGGAAAGCUCAGUCGAACCUUAUCAUUUAGAGGAAGGAGAAGGCGUAACA
rnacentral:rRNA from 1 species